AUUGAACGCUGGCGGCAUGCCUUACACAUGCAAGUCGAACGGUAACGGGUCCUUCGGGAUGCCGACGAGUGGCGAACGGGUGAGUAAUAUAUCGGAACGUGCCCAGUAGUGGGGGAUAGCUGCUCGAAAGAGCAGCUAAUACCGCAUACGACCUGAGGGUGAAAGGGGGGGAUCGCAAGACCUCCCGCUAUUGGAGCGGCCGAUAGCAGAUUAGCUAGUUGGUGGGGUAAAGGCCUACCAAGGGAACGAUCUGUAGUUGGUCUGAGAGGACGACCGGACACACUGGGACUGAGGCACGGCCCAGACUCCUACGGGAGGCAGCAGUGUGGAAUUUUGGACAAUGGGCGCAAGCCUGAUCCAGCAAUGCCGCGUGCAGGAAGAAGGCCUUCGGGUUGUAAACUGCUUUUGUCAGGGAAGAAAUCUUCUGGGCUAAUACCCCGGGAGGAUGACGGUACCUGAAGAAUAAGCACCGGCUAACUACGUGCCAGCAGCCGCCGUAA
rnacentral:rRNA from 1 species